rnacentral:rRNA from 1 species
GACGAACCGUGCGAACGUUAUUCGGAAUCACUGGGCUUAAAGGGCGCGUAGGCGGACUGUCAAGUCUGGGGUGAAAUCCCGCGGCUCAACCGUGGAACUGCCUCAGAUACUGACGGUCUCGAGGAAGGUAGGGGCAUGCGGAACUGUAGGUGGAGCGGUGAAAUGCGUUGAUAUCUACAGGAACUCCGGUGGCGAAAGCGGCGUGCUGGACCUUUUCUGACGCUGAGGCGCGAAAGCUAGGGGAGCAAACGGG